rnacentral:misc_RNA from 1 species
GAUGAAGAACGUAGCGAAAUGCGAUACUUGGUGUGAAUUGCAGAAUCCCGUGAACCAUCGAGUCUUUGAACGCAAGUUGCGCCCGAAGCCAUCAGGUUGAGGGCACGUCUGCCUGGGCGUCACAUAUCGUUGCCCAAUGCCUAUUGCAGUGCAAUAGGAAUUUCUAGGGCGAAUGAUGGCUUCCCGUGAGCGUUGUUGCCUCGCGGUUGUUUGAAAAUCGAGUCCUUGGUAGGGUGUGCCAUGGUAGAUGGUGGUCGAGUUAGAACGAUACCGAUCAUGUGCAUGCUCCCCAAAAUAUGGCCUCUAUGACCCACACGCGUCUUUUGACGCUCAUGACGAGACCUCAGGUCAGGCGGGGCUACCCGCUGAAUUUAAGCAUAUCAAUAAGCGGAGGA